rnacentral:rRNA from 1 species
UACGUAGGAUGCAAGCGUUGUCCGGAAUUACUGGGCGUAAAGGGCGUGCAGGUGGCAUUACAAGUCUGAUGUGAAAUCUCCCGGCUUAACUGGGAGGGGCCAUUGGAAACUGUAGAGCUGGAGUGCAGGAGAGGCUAACGGAAUUCCCGGUGUAGUGGUGAAAUGCGCAGAUAUCAGGAAGAACACCCGUGGCGAAGGCGGCUCUCUGGGACGUGACUGACGCUGAGACGCGAAAGCGUGGGGAGCGAACAGG